UGAAGAUCAAGCGUGCUCUUUUUAACUAC
rnacentral:piRNA from 1 species